rnacentral:rRNA from 1 species
GACGAAGGGGGCUAGCGUUGCUCGGAAUCACUGGGCGUAAAGGGUGCGUAGGCGGGUCUUUAAGUCAGGGGUGAAAUCCUGGAGCUCAACUCCAGAACUGCCUUUGAUACUGAGGAUCUUGAGUUCGGGAGAGGUGAGUGGAACUGCGAGUGUAGAGGUGAAAUUCGUAGAUAUUCGCAAGAACACCAGUGGCGAAGGCGGCUCACUGGCCCGAUACUGACGCUGAGGCACGAAAGCGUGGGGAGCAAACAGGG